UUAUAAAGCUCGUAGUUGGAUUUCGGAGUGGGCCAGUUGAUCCGCCGCAAGGUGUGUUACUGACUGGUUUGCUCUUCUUCGCAAAGACUGCGUGUGUUCUUGAGUGAGUGUGCGUAGGAUUUACGACGUUUACUUUGAAAAGAUUAGAGUGUUCAAAGCAGGCUAUUGCUUGAAUACAUGAGCAUGGAAUAAUGGAAUAGGACUUUGGUCCCAUUUUGUUGGUUUCUAGGGCCGAAGUAAUGAUUAAGAGGGACAAUUGGGGGCAUCCGUAUUUCGUUGUCAGAGGUGAAAUUCUUGGAUUUACGAAAGACGAACAACUGCGAAAGCACUUGCCAAGAGUGUUUUCAUUAAUCAAGAACGAAAUUAAAGCAUCGAAGACGUUCAGAUACCGUCCUAGUUCUAACCAUAAACGAUGUCGACUAGGGAUCAGCGGGCGUUAUCGUACGACCCCGUUGGCACCUUACGGGAAACCAAAGUUUUUGGAUUCCGGGGGAAGUAUGGUUGCAAAGCUGAAACUUAAAGGAAUUGACG
rnacentral:rRNA from 1 species